rnacentral:rRNA from 1 species
UAAGGAAUAUUGGACAAUGGGGGCAACCCUGAUCCAGCCAUGCCGCGUGCAGGAUGACAGUGCUCUGCACCGUAAACUGCUUUUACUUGGGAAAAAACCUCUGCUUUAUAGCGGAGCUGAUUGUACCGAGAGAAUAAGGGACGGCUAACUUCGUGCCAGCAGCCGCGGUAAUACGAAGGUCCCAAGCGUUAUCCGGAUUUAUUGGGUUUAAAGGGUGCGUAGGCGACUUAUUAAGUCAGUGGUGAAAGCCCCAAGCUUAACUUGGGAACUGCCAUUGAUACUGAUGAGCUUGAGUAGAUUUGAGGCGGGCGGAAUGUGUCGUGUAGCGGUGAAAUGCUUAGAUAUGACACAGAACACCAAUUGCGUAGGCAGCUCGCUAAACUCUUACUGACGCUGAGGCACGAAAGCAUGGGGAUCAAACAG